UUUCGAUAAAUAGCCACCAUACAACUCUAUUUUAGAAAAAUAGCAAAUUUUUUUAUUUUUUUAAAAACUAACCAAUAUUUUACCCAUUUGGACUAAAGUACCCUUAUCUAUAUAUAUAUAUAUAUAUUUUUUUUUGUUCUUUUCUCUAUCAAAACGCAGGGCCAUGUAUAAGGGUUUCAGUUUUUUUUUUUUUACUUUCCCUUUGAAAACGCAGCUAGGGCAUUUCAAAAAUUACCAUCCCGGCCACCAUUUUCACCGACAUUCGUCUCCCAUUCGCCGGCAUCGUCCUCGUCCAUUGUAACAUAGCAUCCUUAUAAGUGCUCAAUCGUUUUCUCCCAUAUUCUGUUUUGGGCAUGUGCUAGGCGUACACUAUGGAGUUGGAAGCAGAGGUUGCAAAGUUGAAAGAAGAGAACCAGGAAUUGAAGAAAAAGCAGGCAGAAAUGCUAGAAAUGCAGAAGAAUCAGAUUCAGUUCAAUUCAACCAUGUCCAAUUCUUAAUGCUCGCUAUCUUAAGCAGAUUCUAUUUUCCUUAUGGCAAUGGAGAUGAUGAAUGUGCAGCGGGGAGUAAAGAAACGGUGCUUGAGACGAACGCAGACUGGUCCAUGGUGAAGCAUGAAAGGAUUGUGAUUUCUGUGGUUGAAAAUUAUGGCACUCAGGCUGUAAAUAUCUUUUAAGGCAAAUGCGUUUUUCUGGUGUAGAUCAAGAGAGGUUUAGUGUGCUGUAGAUUAAACCUUCCUUAAUAUUUUACUUGCUAGCUUUGUACAUUUAUUUAUAUUAUUAUUUUUCAUUUUUUUAUACAUUUUCUUACUCUUGCAUGAUGAAAUAGUACUCUAGGUACCCAUAUGUCAUUAUCUGCUGGCAAAUUGUGCAUUAUUGAAGUUCUAAAGAAACAAGUGGCAGAAGACAGGGGAGCCAUACAUAUAUGCAUUGGAGGAGCAAGUGAUGGACUGAGCAGAAAAUUGAAGCACAAAAUUUGCGAUCGUGGAGUUACAAGUGCAAGCUGAUAAAAUUACACAUACACUCACAGAGAUAGAUAAAGAGAGAGACAUAUAUAUAAAUAGAUAGAGAAGCAUUGGUGGUGGUUUGUCCCCCAUUAAUGUAAGUUGCUUCUCUGUACAACAUAGAAAAUAUUUUGCAAACUAAUUUCGCUUUAAUGUAACGAACUUAUAUGAAAACCUUUAGUUGUGCUGUAUUGAAUGAGUUUUACAAUUUUGAACUUUGUCAUUAUGCGCUAUGCUUAUAAUAUUGUUUUAUUUGGUGUGACAGAAAUGUUUGUGUUGCAUGGUUAGAAUGUGAAAUGUGAAAUUAAAACUAUUGUGAAGUUGUGUUUUUGUUUGAAUUUAAUGGGAGGUUUGAAUGUGAAACCAUAAUAUAUCUAUAGGUUAUCUUUACGAAGCAAUGUAUAAUGUACACUACUAAUGUAUAAUGUAUUAUGCGCUGGUUUGAAAAUCCCGUUAGGUGUAUGUUAUUUUGGUUCUGGAAAAUUUUCCACCCCGAGGAAAAUAUUUUCUCUU